UCAGUAUCACGUGGCUAACCUGCCCUCAGGACGGGGACAACCCCGGGAAACUGGGGCUAAUACCCGAUAAGUGAGGAGGCCUGGAAUGGUUCUUCGCCUAAAGGGCGUUGGGACCAUGCUUUUCAACGUUGCCUGAGGAUGGGGCCGCGCCCGAUCAGGUUGUUGGUGAGGUAAUGGCUCACCAAGCCUAUGACUGGUACGGGCCGUGAGAGCGGGAGCCCGGAGAUGGGCACUGAGACAAGGGCCCAGGCCCUACGGGGCGCAGCAGUCGCGAAAACUCCGCAAUGCGCGAAAGCGUGACGGGGCUACCCCGAGUGCCGUCCGCUGAGGAUGGCUUUUUCCUGGUGUAAUGAGCCGGGGGAAUAAGGAGAGGGCAAGACUGGUGUCAGCCGCCGCGGUAAUACCAGCUCUCCGAGUGGUAGGGACGAUUAUUGGGCUUAAAGCGUCCGUAGCCGGCUUAGCAAGUCUUCUGUUAAAUUCAGCGACCCAAUCGUUGAGCCGCGGAAGAUACUGUUAGGCUAGGAGGCGGAAGAGGCCGACGGUAUUCUCGGGGUAGGGGUGAAAUCCUAUAAUCCCGGGAGGACCACCAGUGGCGAAGGCUGUCGGCUAGAACGCGCUCGACGGUGAGGGACGAAAGCUGGGGGAGCGAACCGGAUUAGAUACCCGGGUAGUCCCAGCUGUAAACGAUGCGGGCUAGGUGUUGGGGUGGCUACGAGCCACUUCAGUGCCGCAGGGAAGCCAUUAAGCCCGCCGCCUGGGGAGUACGGCCGCAAGGCUGAAACUUAAAGGA
rnacentral:rRNA from 1 species